rnacentral:rRNA from 1 species
UUAGAGGAAGUAAAAGUCGUAACAAGGGUCUCCGUUGGUGAACCAGCGGAGGGAUCAUUAUCGAGUUACCGCUCCUUAUAACCCUUUGUGAACAUACCCCAAACGUUGCCUCGGCGGGCAGCCGGAGCCUAGCUCCGUCGCCCGGAGCCGCCGUCUCGGCGCGCCCCACCCGCCGGCGGACCACCAAACUCUAUUUAAACGACGUCUCUUCUGAGUGGCACAAGCAAAUAAUCAAAACUUUUAACAACGGAUCUCUUGGUUCUGGCAUCGAUGAAGAACGCAGCGAAAUGCGAUAAGUAAUGUGAAUUGCAGAAUUCAGUGAAUCAUCGAAUCUUUGAACGCACAUUGCGCCCGCCAGCAUUCUGGCGGGCAUGCCUGUUCGAGCGUCAUUUCAACCCUCAAGCACCGCUUGGCGUUGGGGCCCUACGGCUUCCGUAGGCCCCGAAAUACAGUGGCGGACCCUCCCGGAGCCUCCUUUGCGUAGUAACAUACCACCUCGCACUGGGAUCCGGAGGGACUCCUGCCGUAAAACCCCCCAAUUUUCCAAAGGUUGACCUCGGAUCAGGUAGGAAUACCGCUGAACUUAGCAUAUCAAUAGAAGGAAGGGGAGGAAGAGAGGGGGGAAGGAA